rfam:Triticum aestivum genome assembly, contig: Triticum_aestivum_CS42_TGACv1_scaffold_222378_3B
CCGCCGCUCUCUCCGUCCCAAAAUUCUUGUCUUAGACUUGUCUAAAUACAGAUGUAUCAAGUCACUUUUUAGUAUUAGAUACAUUCAUAUCAAGACAAAUUUAAGACAAGAAUUUUGGGACGGAGGAAGUACAUU